UGGGGAAUAUUGGACAAUGGGCGAAAGCCUGAUCCAGCAAUGCCGCGUGUGUGAAGAAGGUCUUCGGAUUGUAAAGCACUUUCGACGGGGACGAUGAUGACGGUACCCGUGAAGAAGCCCCGGCUAACUUCGUGCCAA
rnacentral:rRNA from 1 species